AUGAUAUGACACACACAAUUUAUUGGUUUCUAUUGCCUCCUACACAUACUUACAUUGUUGUAUUUAGCUUUCUUUGUUUAAGACUAGCAAGCUGUCCUCAAUGGGGGGAUCCUCUGUCCGGAACAAUGUCCACAGGAUUUUGGAGCGUAAGUGUCCGCAAACUCAAGAGGUUAUUGUGUAGCAGGCCCUCUGGAAAGUCUUAAAAUAUGCCCGUGACCACCCUGAUGGAGGAGGAGGCAAAGUAUGUACAAUACCAGUCAAAAGUUUGGACACCUAGUCAUUCAACGGUUUUUAUUUAUUUGUACUAUUGUCUACAUUGUAGAAUAGUAGUGAAGACAUCAACACUAUGAAAUAACACAUAUGGAAUCAUAUAGUAACCAAAAAAGUGUUAAGCAAAUCAAAGUAUAUUUAAUAUUUUAGAUUCUUCAAAGUAGCCACCCUUUGCCUUGAUGACAGCUUUACAUGCGCUUGGCAUUCUCUCAACUAGCUUCAUCUGGAAUGCUUUUCCAACAGUUUGUCUACAUUGUAGAAUAGUAGUGAAGAGAUCAAACCUAUAAAAUAUUCUGAGCAGUUGCUGGCUGCUUUUUCUUCAUUCUGCGGUCCAACUUAUCCCAAAUGGUCUCAAUUGGGUCGAGGUUGGAUGAUUUGUGGAGGCCAGGUCAUCUGAUGCAGAUCUCCCUUCACUUUCCUUGGUCAAAUCGCCCUUAAACAGCCUGGAGGUGUGUUGAGUCAUUGUCCUGUUGAAAAACAAAUGAUUCUUCCACUAAGCGCAAACCAGAUGGAAUGGCGUAUCGCUGCAGAAUGCUGUGGUAGCCAUGCUGGUUAAGUGUGCCUUGAAUUCUAAAUAAAUCACUGACAGUGUCACCAGCAAAGCACCCCCACACCAUCGCACUCCCUCCGUGCUUCACAGUGGGAACCACACAUGCGGAGAUCAUCCGUUCACCUACUCUGUGUAUCACAAAGACAGGUUGGAACCAAAAAUCUCACAUUUGGACUCAUCAGACCAAAGGACAGAUUUCACCUGUAAUGUCCUUUGUCCAUGUUUCUUGGCCCAAGCAAGUCUUCUUAUUGGUGUCCUUUAGUAGUGGUUUCUUUGCAGCAAUUUGACAAUGAAGGCCUGAUUCAUGUCUCCUCUGAACAGUUAAUGUUGAGAUGUGUCUGUUACUUGAACUCUGAAGCAUUUAUUUGGGCUGCAAUUCCUAAGGCUGGUAACUAAUGAACUUAUCCUCUGCAGCAGAGGUAACUCUGGGUCUUCCUUUCCUGUGGCGGUCCUCAUGAGAGCCAGUGUUCAUCAUAGAGCUUGAUGGUUUUUGCGACUGCGCUUGAAGAAACUUUCAAAGUUCUUGACAUUUUCCAAUUUAACUGACCUUCAUGUCUUAAAGUAAUGAUGGACUGUCAUUUCUCUUUGCUUAUUUGAGCUGUUCUUGCCAUAAUAUGGACUUGGUCUUUUACCAUGUCACAGCACAACUGAUUGGCUCAAACAUAUUAAGAAUGAAAGAAAUUCAACAAAUUAACUUUUAACAAGACACACCUGUUAUUUGAAAUGCAUUCCGGUGACUACCUCAUGAACCUGGUUGAGAGAAUGCCAAGAGUGUGCAAAGCUGUCAAGGCAAAGGUUUGCUACUUUGAAGAAUCUCAAAUAUAUAUUUUGUUUUAUUUCGUCGUUUUUAUGUCUUCACUAUUAUUCUACAACGUAGAAAAUAGUACAAAUAAGGAAAAGGCCUGGAAUGAGUGUGUCCCAAAAUGACAGGUACUGUAUAUGAGCAAGUUGCUAUUUGUUGAAGACAUCUCUAAGCUAUAACUGUCACAACAUUUUUCAACUAGUACCAAGGAAAUAGUUUUAGCCAGCUGAGUCCACAAAGUUUCUUCAGUGAUAUCCUUUUCUAGUUUGCUUUUAAAAUCUCAUUAUUGAUUAAUAUGUAAUGUGCUGAUUGUCUUUACUGCAGAUCUGACCCAUCACAUGACUCUUCAAGAGGGCCAUUAGGCUCCAGAUCUCCUUCUGUGUUCAGAGCUCCUUGAUGAGGAUCUACCCCAUCACACCGCUCUGAUUAAUCAUUAAUCAAAUAAAACAAUGGGCCUUUAUAUACUCUGUCCCAGUCUUUCUAUGCAUCUAAUGUCUGAGUGAAUUAUGAAACAAUUACUGUAAAUUGUGAUGUAGAUUUGUUUUUGCCAUUGCUUGAUCUAUUUUAAAUGUAAGAAUAUGUUGCAGAUUAAAUGUAAUUGGUGACUAUGGAACAAAUAUAAACAAAUAUAAAUGUAAUCAGCAAUGUUUUCAAUAUCUGACUUUAUCCUCUGCAAUACUUUUUACAGUACACUCUUAGCACCUUUUUUUCUAUCUAGAACCUAAAAGGGUUAUUCAGCAGUUCCCAUAGGAGAACCCUUUGAAGAACCCUUUUUGGUUUCAGGUGAACCCUUUUUGGUUCUAUGUAGGACACUUCCCACAGGGGGUUCUACAUGAAAACAAAAAGGGUUCUAUGUGAAACCAAAAAGGCUUCUCCCUAGAACCAAGAAGGGUUCUCCUAUGGGGACAGCUGAAGAACUCUUUUUUUUCUAAGAGUGUAUGUAAUAAACUGUAAUCAUAACCUGGUAAUGACCACCUGACGAGGUCUUAACUAUGACCACCAGUAGGCUACAUCAUAUAGCAGCACAUAAUAGUGGUCAGAAUCAUGACCAACUGGUCGUAUGGUGGUCAGAAAAAUACAUAAUAUUCUGGUCAGUAAAAAUACAUAAAACAAAACGUCCUAUUUCAACCGUUUUGCGACCAGAAUAAUACGCCAUAAGACAUCUUGUCAACCAGGUUUGCCCACUGGUUAAGAGCUUUCCACACCUGGAUUGUGAAACAUUUUUUCAUUAUUCAAGCUCUGUCAAAUUGGUCGUUGAUCAUUGCUUGACAACCAUUUUCAGGUCUUGCCAUAGAUUUUCAAGUAGAUUUCAAAAUGGUCAAAAUUGUAAAUCGGCCACUCACUCAACAUUCACUGUAUUCUUGUUAAGAAACUCCAGUGUAGAUUUGUGUUUUAGGUUAUUAUCCUGCUGAAAGGUGAAUUCAUCUCUUAGUGUCUGGUGAAAAGCAGACUGAACCAGAAUUUCCUCUAGGAUUUUGCAUGUGCUAAUCUCCAUUCCGUUACUUUUUUAUUCUGAAAAACUCCACAGUCCUUAACGUUUACAAGCAUACCCAUAACACCACUUAUGCUUGAAAAUACAGAGAGUGGUACUCGGUAAUGUGUUGUAUUAGAUUUGCCCCAAACGUAACACUUUGUUUUCAGGACCAAAAGUGAAUUACUUAGCCAUUUUUUUUACAGUAUUACAGUGGUAUUACAUUCCUUUAAAAGUUGCAGCUUGCUGUGGCGCAGCUUGCAUGUUGCCACAGAAUUCUAUGGCACUUUAAGUGUGAACCACUGGUAAUUAAUGCUAGUGCUAGUUUGACUACCAUAUUUGAGAAGCAUUUGAUAGCCUUCAAUAAUGGCUGUAAUAAAGAAUGCGGGCACACGGGAGACCGGGGUUCAAUUCCCCGAUGAAGAGGAAGGAGUAGGCUGUCCUUGUAAAUAAGAAUGUGUUCUUAACUGAUUCAAUAUGUGCUAUUUCGUAGUUGUGAUGUCUUCACUAUUAUGCUACGAUGUAGAAAAUAGUAAAAAUAAAGAAAAACCCUGGAAUGAGUAGGUGUGUCCAAACUUUUGACUGGUACUUGCUUAAUUAAUUUGCUCUAUAUUAUGGUGUUUCUAUUCCAAGAAAAAUGAAAACCCUCUGGGUUUCCGUUAUGGCGCGGUACAACGUGACGGUCGGGAGUACAGUACUGGGCCAUUUAGCUAAAGAAUCUCUUGUGUCGUGUGGGCAGGGCACACGGAAUACUGGGGUUCAAUUCCCAGACGUGGAGGAAGGAGUAGGCUGUCCUUGUAAAUAAGAAUUUGUUCUUAACUGACUUGCCUAGUUAAAUAAAUGUUACACUAAGAGCAUAACAUUUCCACACCCUAAUUUUCUAAUUCUAGUCUAACCAAUACCCAAACUGAGAUUAAGUGAAAAUAAAAAUCUCAUUUUAUUUAUCAAGACCAUGCUUGUCUCAGAGUAGCGUGAAACGGUGCUAAAUCAUAUUGCUUCUAACUUCAACAUGCUCUUUAAAUAAAUAAGACCUACACCACGUUUAACAGCACAUUACUCAGCACUAGUGAGACUCAUGUCGGCUACGGUAGUCCAACAGUAUGUCUAAAAACGUGACGUGACUCUCCGCCAAUAAUUACAUAUAGAGGAUUGGAGGAUUCUAAAUUAAAACAAAAGCUUGUGCUCAGUGGAUAUUCUGAAAGUAGUUUGAGGGUCGUAGGUCAUAAGACUAAGGAGCUGUUGAAAUUUGAAUCUAUCAUAAAUUAUCGUAAAAUCUCAUGAGAUGCAAAUGGACAAACAAAAAACGUCCAAUGUGUAGGCCCACUGAGUGUACAUUAUGAACCUUGUUUGAGGUGUGUGGGUCACAUGACCAAGACACUAAUGAAUUUCACAAAUUAAAAUAAAUAAUUUAAAAUCGUGUGAGAUGUAUACCAACAAAAAGCUAGAACCAGUUUUGAUCGUUUAAAGAGCUAUUGAAAUUUGAAAAAUGUGAUGUGUCACUAUGUUGAAGGAUUCUAAAUUAAAACCAAAAGCCACCUCAUGGGUCUCCCAGUGGCGGCCGGCACAGGUAUCGAACCUACAUCGGUAGCAACGCAUUUUGCACUGCAAGAGCCCCCAUCCAAAAAGUAUAAAAAUACAGAAAGGUGUUGGUAAAGAUAUAUUGUCCUGCUAAUAGCCCGUAAUGGGCUAUUAUAAUACUGUACAUGGUGUCCAGGUCAGGAUAUCCAAAACAUUUCUUUAUUAAAGACUAUCAGAAAGAAUGUUGCUACUUAUUUAUUUUGAUCCAAAGCCAUGAAUGAGUGAGUCACUCAGCUUUAUGUAGGUGCCGGCUAUAUGACUGAUAAUAUAUAACAAUAUUUUGUUUUCAAAAAAAACAAAACAGAGCAAUUGUAAUCUGAAUAAAUCCCAAAAUAAUAUUUGUAAAGGCCAAAACAUUUAUUUUUGUUUUUAGAGGGAGAGAAACACUGGGCCAAUUGUGCGCGCCCAUAAAGGCCAAAAUAUAGCCCUGCUAAUAGCCAUAAUAGCGCUGUACAACGUGACUGUGUGUUUGAAAGAGUAUUUUCCAGUAAGCAACAAUUUGUUUACCUUCAAUAGACAGCUUUGUUCCAGUAAUUCUGUAAUUCACUGAUAUUUAUUCCCAUAGUAAUUCAUUAUGGAUCCAAAGCUAAAUAAACAUCAGCAUUUUGAAAGAGUAUUUUUAUCAUUAUUUUAUUAACGAAAGCAUAAAGAUGUUGAUGAAGAAAUACUGUACUGCUGUUUUGAGUUAGAAAUGUAACACUUCAGAGUACUUAAGCAUCAAAUACAUUGCAGGUAGGGGGAUGUUCACAACUACAGUAGCCGGGCUAUAAAGAGUCUAUUUUCCUGAUAAUCGGGCUACAAGUGUAUGAAAAACUGUUUUCAAAAUGUCACAAGCUGUUCAUCACUACUGUAAAUAAAAACACAGCAUCUUGUUUA